rnacentral:rRNA from 1 species
CACGUAGGGCGCAAGCGUUGUCCGGAAUUAUUGGGCGUAAAGAGCUCGUAGGCGGUCUGUUGCGUCCGCUGUGAAAACUCGGGGCUUAACCCCGAGCCUGCAGUGGAUACGGGCAGACUAGAGGUAGGUAGGGGAGAAUGGAAUUCCCGGUGUAGCGGUGAAAUGCGCAGAUAUCGGGAGGAACACCAAUGGCGAAGGCAGAUCUCUGGGCCGUAACUGACGCUGAGGAGCGAAAGCGUGGGGAGCGAACAGGA